rnacentral:rRNA from 1 species
UACGUAGGUGGCAAGCGUUGUCCGGAUUUAUUGGGUUUAAAGGGUGCGUAGGCGGCUUUGUAAGUCAGUGGUGAAAUAUGGCAGCUCAACUGUCAGGGUGCCAUUGAUACUGCAGAGCUUGAGUACAGAUGAGGUAGGCGGAAUUGACGGUGUAGCGGUGAAAUGCUUAGAUAUCGUCAAGAACACCGAUAGCGAAGGCAGCUUACUGGGCUGUAACUGACGCUGAGGCACGAAAGUGUGGGGAUCAAACGGG